CAUCUCUUCCCGUUUACUUCAGCGACGCCGUCUCCUGCCCUAACCACUCCUAACCAGCGCCGCACGACGCUCCUUCUUCCCGAGCCGAUCAGUUUUUCCCUCUGCCGUUGCCUCGUCGCCUCAGAGAUCUCAGUCUACUGCCGGCCUCUCCUUCUCUUCCUCUCCCGAGCGCCGGCCGCUGGCAAGUAUCCCGUGCCCUAGCGUUGACGCCCUCUACCUUGCGGACCCGUGCCCUAGAUCGCCGGGAGUCGGAAGCCGGGAGCGUGUGUCAAGGAUAGAGCAGGAAAGCACUAUUACUGGUUGUCGGAAAAUCAUGGAGGUGGAGGAUUUGCUUGAUUCCGACCACCCCAUCCCUGUCAGCAGAUUGGCACGCCUUAAGUGGUUAGGUUUUGAUGGUUGAUCACGGAGAAAGUGCCAAGUAAGAUGGAUUCCAGUAGGUGAUGGGUUGUUCGGUGGAUCUAGAAUUUGGGGGUUUUCAGUUGAUCCAUAUCUAGGCUGUGAGGUUUGCUUGUUUUGGUUUGGCAGCAAUCCAUCCAUCAGUGUUCCUUGUUUCAGCAUCAGCAGUAGCUGAGAAUUGAGGACUUUGAUGCGAGACGAGUAUCUCGACGUCGGAUUUCGACCUGAUACGAACAUUCCUAUU